rnacentral:rRNA from 1 species
GAUGAACGCUAGCUACAGGCUUAACACAUGCAAGUCGAGGGACCGGCGCACGGGUGUAUAACACGUAUCCAACCUGCACUUAGCUCGGUGAUAGCCUUUCGAAAGAAAGAUUAAUACACGAUAUAAAGACUGCGGAUGCGUUCGAGUAGUUUGUUGGUAAGGUACCGCCUCACCAAGCCUUCGAUGGAUAGGGGUUCUGAGAGGAAGGUCCCCCACAUUGGAAAUGAGACACGGACCAAACUCCUACGGGAGGCAGGAGUGUGGAAUAUUGGUGAAUGAGCGCUAGCCUGAACCAGCCAAGUAGCGUGAAGGAUGAAUGCUUUGGGGUCGUAAACUUCUUUUAUAUAAGAUGAGGUAUUAUAUGAAUAAGGAUCGGCUAACUCCGUGCCAGCCGCCGCGGUAAUAC